rnacentral:lncRNA from 1 species
CUGCCCCCUGUCCAGCAGGGACAUAUGGAGCCAAGGAGGGCCUUCAGAGGCAAAAAGACUGCUCCCCCUGUCCUGCAGGCUUUUACUGUCUGGAGGGCACAGCUCAGCGUCCCGGGUCACAGUUCAUUUGCCCACGGGGUUAUUACUGCGAGGAGCGAACGGCAGCGCCCCACGGCAGCCCCUGUCCGGCCGGGACCUUCGGAGGCCACCUGGGUCAGACCAGCCUUGCAGCCUGCAAGAGGUGUGCGGAGGGCCGGUUCUGUCCCGAAGGAUCAGCUGAGUCUGGGGUCGCCUGUGCCAGGGGAAAGUUCUGUCCGGCUGGCACUGCCAAGGAAGUGAACUGUCCAAAGGGCACCUUCACUCUCCAUCAAGGGGCUGCAAGUGUGGAAGAGUGUGUGAAGUGCCCUGCAGGAUUUUACUGCCCCGAGGGCACCAGUGACCCCGUGCCCUGCCAGCCAGGUUGGUUUAACCCUUUGGAGGGCCAGGACGAAGCCCUCGACUGCAGAGCUUGUUACCCCGGCAAGGCCUGCACCCAGGCUGCCCUGCGCCUGCCAGAUGUGGACUGCAUGCAGGGGUGAGUGCGUCAGCUCGCAGGAACAGCUGGGCUUCGCAGUUCAGGAACUGGGUGAGGCAC